rnacentral:rRNA from 1 species
UACGGGGGGGGCAAGCGUUGUUCGGAAUUACUGGGCGUAAAGGGCUUGUAGGUGGCCAACUAAGUCAGACGUGAAAUCCCUCAGCUUAACUGGGGAACUGCGCCUGAUACUGGUUGGCUUGAGUUUGGGAGAGGGACGCGGAAUUCCAGGUGUAGCGGUGAAAUGCGUAGAUAUCUGGAGGAACACCGGUGGCGAAGGCGGCGUCCUGGACCAAUACUGACACUGAGGAGCGAAAGCCAGGGGAGCAAACGGG